UUCACAAGUCGGAGUCGGAGCUUCGGGAACUGCUGGAAAAAAGGGAAAAGAAACUGAAAGAAAAAGAGGAGAGAAAAAGGAAACAGGAGGAAAAUGUGAAGAGGAAGAGGGAGAACAGGGAACAAAUGAGACGCCGCAGUCUGGCUGGGAUGACCCGGAAGCGGAAGUUGUUGGACAAUGACCCGGAAGCUGAAGAUCCCGGAACCGAGAAAGAACCGGAACCGGAAUCGGAUCAAAGUGACCUGGAACAUUAUAGGGAGGAAGUGGGGCAGGAACCGGAACCAGAUCUGUUCCCAAACAGGAGCCGAAGUCCUUCAGCCCCACAGCGGAAACGACGGCGCCGUGACCCACAAGAACGGAACCGGACCCCAAAUCCACCCCAUAGAACUGAGGGGAAAAAGGGGGCGACCCCAAAGCAUCACCCUAUGGGGCAGAGGAAGAAGAAUGGGACCCCAAACCAUCAUUCUAUGGGGCAGAGGAAGAAUGGGACCCCAAAGCAUCACCCUAUGGGGCAGAGGAAGAAGGACGGGACCCCAAACCAUCAUUCUAUGGGGCAGAGAAAGAAGGGGGGGACCCCAAAGAAGAGUGGGACCCCAAAGAAGGGGGGGACCCCAAACCAUCACCCUAUGGGGCAGAGGAAGAAGAGUGGGACCCCAAAUCCUCACCCCACAUCGCCCACCGUGCCCCAUAGGGCUGGGGGGGUGAAGAAGAAGCGGACCCCAAAUGCGCCCCAUAGGGCUGGGGGGGUGUUGGGGGGCAGAAUGGGGAGUGCUAUGGGGCAGAGGAAGGGGAUGGGAAAGGGGCAGAAGGGUUUUAUGGGGCAGAAGAAGGGGAGGAGCU
rnacentral:lncRNA from 1 species